rnacentral:rRNA from 1 species
UACGUAGGGGGCUAGCGUUGUCCGGAUUUAUUGGGCGUAAAGAGCGUGUAGGCGGCCAGGUAGGUCUGCUGUGAAAACUCGAGGCUCAACCUCGAGCUGUCGGUGGAAACCGCGUGGCUAGAGUCCGGAAGAGGGGACUGGAAUUCCCGGUGUAGCGGUGGAAUGCGCAGAUAUCGGGAGGAACACCCGUGGCGAAGGCGGGUCCCUGGGACGGUACUGACGCUGAGACGCGAAAGCGUGGGGAGCGAACAGG